CUCCCUCUCGGCUCCCCGUCCCCCUGCUCCGACGGCGUCCCUUCUCCUUCCUCACGACAUCUCUUCCCCAGCACACCUCCUCCUCUCUACUGCUCCCUUCCCCCUCUAGAUCCCCUCCAAUACAGCUCCAAUAAUCGAAAAGAAGCAGCGAAACGGACUGAGGAGGAAAAGAGGAUCAAGUUCCUGUGCGAGAUCGGUGUUUUCCCCAACCUCCCUUGGGGAUUCUAAUGGGUAAGCCCUAGGUGAUCAUAUAUCUCAUAGCUGCCCUCUUUUGCUGGUUGCAACCAGAUGUAAAUGAUGGACAACCUUGGGUAUAGACAAAAUGGGAGGCAGAAGAUGCUCGAGGUUUUCUCUAGGUUUUGGAUGUUGACAAAAUUGUGUUUUUUAGAGAGUGUUUAUUUGUAUGCAAGCACCAUAAAAGUGUGUAAUGAACACCUUUUUCUAAUUACUAAUGUAUUGUAAUAGAUGGAAUUUGUGUUGCGACGACUCUUAUUGUACUGUGAUAUCCUUUAAGAAAAUAGCGACAGCUCA